AACUCAACUACUGCCCCUCCCAGUAUUCAAAGUGUAAGAAGGGCAUUCUCCUCUCAUGCAUUUGAUGAAAAAUGUAAAUCAAGCAAACGUCACCAAUUGCAAGGUACUCCAGAAAACUCCAUUUUUCUCACAUUACCUGGAAAGCUCAGUGACUAGGAAAGGAGGCUAUACGUCAGAGUGCAGCAGCAAGAAACACAGCUCUUCAAGCACUAAGAGAUGCUUCCGCGACAGAAACUUUAGUUCAGGUUCUCAAGAUGUUUUCGGACUUGAGCACAUCUGCAAGACUAGAUGCUCCAGCUGUUUGUUUCGAUCAGUUUCUAACCUUUCACAAUGAGAUUGCAAACAUAGUGAACAAUAUGGAGGCAAUACAAACUUCCACUGCUGGACCAGUGAUAAAGAACACAUCAUCAACAAACUAAACAACGAGGAAUAUUUGUUUAUUGAAUGAAAUAGUAGAUAACUUGACUAGCCGAUAUGAGCUUGCUAAUGUUCAAGCAAGAGCAGAAGCAUUUUCCAAAUUGGAUUCAUUCAUGCCUGACAAAAUGAAAGCAAACCUUGGUAAAAGUUCAAGAUUAGAUGUAAACAAGAAUAGAUUCCUGGCUAGAAAACGCCCUGGUUCUGCGGUUACUGAUGUAAACAAAGAUCAAAAUUCUAGCU